rnacentral:misc_RNA from 1 species
GAUGAAGGAACGUAGCGAAAUGCGAUAAGUAAUGUGAAUUGCAGAAUUCAGUGAAUCAUCGAAUCUUUGAACGCACCUUGCACCCUUUGGCAUUCCGAAGGGUAUGCUCGUUUGAGUGUCAUUGUACUCUCACACUUCCAAUCUUUGGAUUGGGAGCGGUGGACUUGGGUGUUGCUGCUUACUGUGGCUCACCUCAAAUCGAUUCGUGCACCUCUUGGUUGGACAUAGUACGGCGUGAUAAGUGUCUUCGCCGGCACCUCAGUAGAGGGUGGCUGAUCAGGAGCUCUGUGCUUCAAACCGUCCUCGGACAACAACUGACAACUUGACCUCAAAUCGAGUAGGACUACCCGCUGAACUUAAGCAUAUCAAUAAGCGGAGGA